CGCUCCUGCGCGGGAUCCCGCACUCCGGCCCGCGAUGCCGCGCUCCGGCCUGGCCCCGGCUCCCGCAGGGCAGCGGGAAGCGGCCUUUUGGUCCCAGGCAUCGGCGUUCGGUCUGCUUAGCUUCCGCGGGUGACUGGGGCCGGCGGCGGGUCGCCCCCGGCCGGAGGAUGCUACUGCCGGGAACAGGAGGGGACGCGGAGGCCCCGGGCGCGCCGGAGCCACGGCAGGCCGGAGGCGGCGGUUCCGGCCCCCUGCAGCCCCCGGCCGCCGCCACCGUUGCCCGGGGGUCGGAAUCUCCGCGCCGCAGAGGCUGCGCACUGUUGCUCCCCGCAGCUCCCGAGGUUUACCGCCGGCUGCUCUCCCCCGGGGCCCUGACGUUUCCAGGAAUCUCAAGAAAAAUCCUGGAGAAAAAGCCGUGUUGUCAACAGAGUGCUGGUCAUCUGGGAGAGGGGGAAUUCCCUGGAAAUGGCCUUAUUGCAGACCUCGGAGUUAAACACCGAGGAAAACCAGAGAAAACACUACGCUUUGAAUAAUACGCUCCUCACCAGCCCUCCAGAAACGAACAGGAGGAUUGUCUUUACUGGGAAAUAUAAUCUAUCUGGGAUCAGAAAAGGUCCAAGCAAUGGAUCACUGAGGCUAGUUACGGCAGGAUGAAGACCUUGUCAGUCAGCCAGAACAGAGCUUUAUCUGGAACCUGGUCAGUUCGUGCACAUUCUGAAGCAGUGAGUCCUCGGAGUGCUCCAGGAUCCCUGGAAAAGAUGGCAUAAACAACUUUGGCACCUCGCAGUCCACUAGGUACAGCACAGAACCAGAAGGGGUGAGACUGCUGAGCUGCAUCCUUCACUGUAAAGCUGCUGUGCCUCCCGUUGCCAGGCUUGCAUUCCUCCUGGUGUCCCUGCUCUUUCUCUCCAUGGAGGGCUGAGUUCCUGCACUUUGUAAUGCCUUGCUUGGUAACCAUCUGGUGUAUUGAGGGGUGACUGAUUAUGAUGCACCAGGGAGGCAUCUUAUGGCAGACAGGAAUGCGUGUUAAAGUUGCAGAUCUUUGUCCUGAGAAGUGAAGUGAAGGAAUUCAGAUUUUGUGUGGCUUGGCUUUACUGAGCCCUCUUCAGCUUUCUGACCUCUGAUUCAGGUCACUCAGGGGAGAGUUCGUUCAGAGCACUCCUGCUGUCCUUCCAAAGCUCAGGAAAAUGUUGUAUUACUUUUCAUGGCUGAGAAAGGGGCUCUGAGGAAGAGUGUAAGUCUGUAGGUCUGGUGUAACAGCCUUUCUGAUCCCUAAACACUUAAAUCUGGUACCGUUCAACUCCUUGACAUACUGAACUUGAUUGAACAUCAAAGUGUCACAGAUUUUUGGUAAUUUUAUAAUAGUUCAGAAUGAGAGGUUCACUGAGUUGUAAUCUUUUGAUAAGAGCCUCCCUACAUUGAAUAGAUUGGCCUCAGUACAAAAAGAAGCCCAGAGAAAGCUGAAAGAAUUGGAGUCCUGCUCCAGACAAUGGAGAUCUGGCAUCUUUAUUGGUAGGAGUAAAGUGCAUAGGAGGCAAGCAGAUUUUUAAUAAUUGAGAAUAAUGUUAUGGGAGGUAUUCUUUUAAUUUAAUACCCUUGAAAGUGAAAUGUCCUGCAUAAUGUGUUCCACUAUGUCCUGAGAUAUGUCCCUGUAUGUUCAGUGUAUUGGACUAUGCUGUACCAAAGCUUAUGAAUUCCAUCAUACCCUGCCAGGACUAAGGCAGCCACACCGCAGCCCUGGCUCAGACCAAGCUCCCUGGCUCAUUGCUUGGGUCUUGUGUUGUGUGUAAAUUACUCCCUACAGCACUACUCACCAACAGAAUCCUGCUUUCUCUCAGUCAUGCUACUGCUGCCUCCUGACCCUGAGGCCAGGGGUUGCAAAGAACUCCAGGAGAGCAGUAGAGCCCCCUUAAAUCCUGGGAACAUUGUGAUGUGAUGUGAUGUGGUGUGCUGGGUGAUGCUCUGGUAGGAACCAUCUCUUGAAACACACCAGAAUUAUUGUUACAGUGAUAAGCAUCUUGUCCUGCAUCAUGUUUUGGAGCUCAUUACUACUAUUUCUAGAUGUUCACAGCUAAUUUCCUAUUCAUUUUGAAAGAAGAAAUAAAAAAUAAAAGGUGAGGUUUUGCUACUUUA